UUUAUUUUAAAUCUGCCUUACCACUGAUCUUUUCAAUAUAUAAUUACACGGAUGAUCAUAGAUGGCUAAACUGCAGGUUUAAUCUAGCAGACCUCAUCUAAGGCAAAUUCAAUGGCCAGUGUGAAAGAACCUCUUCAGAUCUGGCUGGGCACAAAUGGAAAGAAUAUAGGACUUGGCCCAUUUCAGGCAGUAUUGCUACCAUUUGUUCCUGCCGAUGCAAACUUUUCAAUGUAUAAAGAAGACAAAAUAUGCGAAAAAUCGUUCUAUCAAAAGACAAAAUGCUACGAAAAAAAUGUUCGGCCCCGAAUUUGACACAAUGGAGAUGCCAAUUGACCCAAGAAAAAAUCGGACGUAGUUGAUAACGUGCGAGCUCGUCCAUUAAAAGAUUAAUAUCUGUUAAACUGAUUUAAGAAGGAUUUGUUUGCUCUUUUCCUGUCAGAUCGAUAAGAUUUAUCAACAACUUUUGUAGAUAAUCUCUCCAUAAUACGACACCUGGGCAGUAUAACUGAACAAUUCGUACUGUCAUUGGUCUUGAUUACUGUGAUGUCCAACUAAUUUCUUAUAUAAAUUAUUUCAAUCGUGAUAAGAUGAGGGAAGGUGAACAACUAUGAUAAAAAUUUUGUAUAGCUUCUUAAUACUAAUUUACACACAAAUCCUUGUCUUUUCAACUGACGUCGACGUCGAUGAAGAUGAAAAUUUUGUAGUGGGAGAUGUAAAUCAAUUUUGUUUAGACCAUGAUGACCAUACAUACUUAAAAUAUAAAACUGAACCGGAAAAAGGAGAGAUAAAUCCACCAUUUGAUCUCCAUGCUUCUAAUAUAACUGAUUCUCAAUUUGAAUUACAUUGGCGCCUGCUGUACGGAGAAUUUGCUAGUUACGUUAUUCAUGUAGAAGAAGGAAAUACAAAAUAUCCAUUACCGUCUUACUGUUUUAUUCCACCAAGACCUCCACAAAUUAUUAUUAUACCAAUUACUUCAGUUACAAAAUAUUUAAUUGACAGCUUAAUACCUUAUCAAGAUGUCACAGUUAAAAUUGCCAUCAAAUAUCCGGACGUUAUAGGCCCUUGGUCAGAUCCAUUAAUUGUUACAACUUUAUCCAAAGAACCCAGCCCUGUUGGGAAUAUAACGUUGAAAUUUGUGGAGGAUAGGGUGAUUUUUUCUUGGUUGCACCCUUGUUAUUCAUACGGCGAUGUUGUGAAAUUUACCAUUUCUGGGGUGGGGCAUAAAAUUCUACAUGAACGACAUGAAUUUACUGAAGACUUAAUUGUUUCUCAGGUGCAGGAUAGCUAUAAAUUGGGUGUUAGAAACAUAAAAACAGAUUUUGAUUAUUCAGUUACAAUACAAGCAUUUAUACGUCAAAUUGAUAAAGGAGGAGAAUUGGCUUAUUAUUCAUUUAGAGGUCCAUCUUUAAUACCACCUGAACCAGAUAAAUAUUUGAAACUGAAUCCCGAGUCUGAAACUCCAACGAGGGUUUCCAUUCAGUUAUUUGAAUUUAAUGUUGAAAAUGGGACAAUUAUUUAUUAUUCAGUGUUAGUAGGUGAGGAGGGUUACAUAAACAGCACUUCUAGCUGGAUCAGUGCAAACAAGCAAUGGCCACAAGAAAAAACAUGGCAACAGGCGAAUGAAGAAAGCAUUGUCAAAAAGUACCAGGCUACAAAGAAAAAAUGGAAUCCGUUUAAAAAUUUGGAAGGCACAAAUAAAAAUUACAAGUACAUUAUUGGAGCAGAUGGAGAAAUAUGUCAAAAGUUGCAGAAUAAUUCUAUUUAUUGUAAUGGACCAUUGAAACCUAGCACAAAAUAUGGAGUAAUCUUGAGGGCAUUUACAGACAGGGGGUACAGGGAUUCUCAAGUCUUCUAUUUUAUUACAGAUGCGGAAGAAAAUACAUAUACAAUUUUGAUGGCAGUUGGUUCAGUUACAGUAAUUGGAUCAAUUGUUGCAUUUUCAUAUAUUUUUGUUAUAAGACGUCGGAAGCAAUGGCAAAUGGAAAGGAAGAAACAAAACAAGUUAAAUAUCGAUCUAAAUGGUGUAACAGCUGAAUUAGAUGGAACAGAGCAGCCCGAAAGCCACCAACUCUUCGACAUCGCUGCAGUAAACGAAGAAUAUGACAAGCUGCAAAAGAAUACUAAAAAAAUUCACCACCAUUCGACCUGUGGUACAGAUGAACAGAACAAAGAGAAAAAUAGAUACGCAAAUGUUUUUCCUUUUGAUUACAACAGAGUGCUUCUACCAGGACAACCUUCCGAAAACUACAUCAAUGCAUCACAUAUUAAUGGUUUUGAUGAUGUACAGAAAUAUAUUGCAACCCAGGGGCCGAAAGAGAACACAGCGAAGGAUUUCUGGGCCAUGGUUGCUUCAUGCAAUGUUUCCAGUAUCGUUAUGCUGUGUAAAACUGUGGAACAAAAAAAAGUAAGUGAAUUCCCACCUAUAAGAUUGGAGCAUAAAGGGAAAAGUAAAAUGUGAUUUUUACUACCCAGAAGCAGGUAUGAGCAAACUUUUGGGUGAUUAUAGCGUACAUUGUAUUCAAAGGCACUCAUACAAAACAUUCAUCAUAAGAGACUUAGUACUCGUUAAGGAUGGAGACAAACACAACAUAACCCACUUUCAAUAUUUAGAAUGGGCUGAUUUUGGUGUGCCUUCAUCGGUGAAAGAAAUACUCAAGUUCUGUGAUUUGGUUGAAAAAUCAAUCAACCCUCUGGACAGAUCUGUACCAUUAGUAGUACAUUGCAGUGCUGGAUGUGGAAGAACUGGUACAUUUAUUGCACUUUAUGAAAUGUUGAAAAUGAAACCAUCUGCUAUUAGCAUAUAUGAUAUUGUUUACAAGCUGAGAAACC
rnacentral:misc_RNA from 1 species